CCUACGGGUGGCAGCAGUAGGGAAUAUUGCUCAAUGGGGGAAACCCUGAAGCAGCAAAGCCGCGUGGAGGAUGAAGGUUUUAGGAUUGUAAACCCCUUUUGUUAGAGAAGAAAAUGACGGUAUCUAACGAAUAAGCACCAGUUAACUCCGGGCCAGCAGCCGCGGAAAUACGGAGGGUGCAAGCGUUACUCGGAAUCACUGGGCGUAAAGAGCGCGUAGGCGGGAUAGCAAGUCAGAUGGGAAAUCCUAUGGCUUAACCAUAAAACUGCAUUUGAAACUGUUAUUCUAGAGUAUGGGAGAGGUAGGUGGAAUUCUUGGUGUAGGGGUGAAAUCCGUAGAGAUCACGAGGAAUACUCAUUGCGAAGGCAGCCUGCUAGAACCUAACUGACGCUGAUGCGCGAAAGCGUGGGGAGCAAACAGGAUUAGAUACCCGUGUAGUC
rnacentral:rRNA from 1 species